rnacentral:rRNA from 1 species
CCCUUAGAUGUUCUGGGCCGCACGCGCGCUACACUGAUGCAUUCAACAAGCCUAGCCUUGACCGAGAGGUCCGGGUAAUCUUUGAAACUGCAUCGUGAUGGGGCUAGAUUAUUGCAAUUAUUAAUCUUCAACGAGGAAUGCCUAGUAAGCGUGAUUCAUCAAAUCGCGUUGAUUACGUCCCUGCCCUUUGUACACACCGCCCGUCGCUCCUACCGCUUGAAUGUGUUGGUGAGGAGCUCGGAUUGGCAGCAGUUGGUGGUUCGCCACCGGCUAUUGCUGAGAAGUCCUCCAAACCGCCCCAUUUAGAGGAAGGAGAAGUCGUAACA